rnacentral:lncRNA from 1 species
CUACAUUUUAGGUCUGAUAUACUAGCACCAAGCUUGGAGCAAUAAAUAUUUAUUGAAUGAGCGAAGGAUUUUUUUUUUUAUAUUUUAUUUUUAGAAUUUAUUGAAGGAUUUUACUUAACCUUUAUUCGUAUCUGUAUGUACCAGCUCCAUACUUGCUAAUGAGGACAAAAAGGGGAUUGAGAUGCAAUCACAUUUACAUGAUAGGGCUCUGACAGUUAUAACAGAGAGUGAUAAAUGUUCUAAUGAAUUCAGGUCCCAGGAUUUGUCAGAAUGCUGAUGAUAAGUCAAUGUAUGGGUAGGAUGGGAACAAAAAGAGGGAGUUGAACUGAAUCAGUUCCACAUUUUUGUUCUCAUCCAUUCAUCCAGUAUUUAUUUAGAGUCUAUCAUGGGCCAAGCUAGGCAACUAAGCUUUUGUUUUUAACCAAACCCAGGAGACAAGCCACAAUCGUUGAACACAGAAGAAGAAUUGGAAUUAGCAUAUGAACAAGAGUACACUAAUGUGGUCUAAAUAGUCUUCCUGAGAACUGUAGGAAUGUGGGCAGCACAUGUUCUCAUGUGAGUGUGGCAAGUCAGGGACACCUUGGAGGGGCGUUUGGAGUUCAAGGCAGUGAUGGACAUGGAUUGGCAGGAAGGAGAGGUUUUGGGGUACAUGUGAAGAACAUGCAAGAUUGUUGCAUAGGUACACACGUGGCAGUGUGAUUUGCUGCCUUCCCCCCCUUAUAUCUGGCAUUUCUCUUCAUGCUAUCUCUCCCCAACUCCCCACCCCCUGUAGUCCCUCUUCUGUUUCCCCCCAACAGACCCUGAUGUGUAGUGCUCCCCUCCCUGUGUCCAUGUGUGCUCACUGUUCAACACCUGCCUAUGAGUGAGAACAUGUGGUGUUUGAUUUUCCGUUCUUGUGUCAGUUUGAUGAGAAUGAUGGUUUCCAGGUUCAUCCAUGUCCCUACAAAGGACACGAACUCAUUGUUUU